AUGUAAAUUUAAAAAAAUAGUGUAACAAUAAGUUUUGUAUUGCUAUGGCAAUACAAAACUUGUAUUGCUACUGCGUAUCGUACAUCAAAGUUAGAGUGAUUUUCAGCAAUAAAAAAAUUGACAACAAAUGCAAGCAUUGGGAGAAACUUUUUUUGGAAAGUGCUGUUUAUGAAAAAAGAGUACAGAAGUAACCUGAUGAAAAUUAUGAUAGUGACUCACAAGAUUUUAAUGAACAUCAAAAAUUAAAAAUAUCUUGUCUGCAGACACCUGUCUCUGUAUGAAACAAAAGUAAAACGAGACUGGAAAAAGUGAUCAUCAUUACCUCUGUGAUUAAGAAGCAAUACGAAGAAAUUUGCUGACAAAAGAUACCACAUACAGCGAAAUUUAAAAGGCAGUUGUGGCUUUUUUUUCUGGAGCUCUAGACAGAAAUAGAGGCAGAAAAGAAGGAGCAGAAAAAAAGUCCAUC